GCGCCCCGCGCCCAGCGCCCCGGGCCGUGCAGCCAGCCCUUACCUUGCAACGCCCGGCUGUCCCCCGAUCGCUAAAGCUACUUAUCCCGGGAAAGCUCGCGCGGGACCCGGGAACGAACCCACAGACAAAAAGUGAAACUUCGGCAGGGCUGGAGCGGCUGCUGGUUGGUGCCUUUCCCCCUCCUUCCUCCCCACCGUCCCCACCCCCUCCCCUUGGUCUCCCGUGCGGUGCCCUGAGCGCUGGAGGCUGACGUCAGGGGCCUGAAUUCCUGACUUUGCCUGCACGCAUUUGUCCAUGUAAGGUAUGGGAAGGCGUGUGCCCGCGGAGCCGCCGCGCAGAGCUCGCCUGGCGGGGGAGGGGAAACCCGCAGCCGGCAGUGGCUUUGCCAAAAGGUGGGCGCACUGAGAGCAUUGCAUUUCCUGGGAGGAAGAGGAGGAGAUGCGGGAAUGCAGGGAGCUUGCAAAGGAGGAAGGGAAAGAGGGAGAUGUGGAGACUUUGCCCCUGCUAGAGGAAGAGGAAGGAGACGUAGGAGGAAGCGGCCGCGUCAGGGGGCUCCUGGAAAAUGGAAAAGCCGGCGUCUACUAUUAAGGCGUCAAAUUAGGGCACUGAGCUUGAGUGGAAGAGAUCCAGCCAUGAAAACCCCUUCCAAGAUUUUCCUCGUGAGCCCCGCCCUGGAUUCCCAGCAAGACUCAAAACUUACAAGGUGUCAGAGCUGGCAAAGACCAACUUCCAGCCCGUCCGCUUGGCACGUGAGGAAACUGAAGCUUUCGGAAGAGAAAUGACUUGUACAGGGUCGUCACUCAACAUAUCGAGGAGCGGGCCCAGGCGCUCUGCCUCCCACUUGGGUUCCUGCCUCCAGGAAGGGCCCUGGCUCCCUUUUAGCCCUGAGCCUUGAAGCAGGUUAGAUGUCUGCGGGCUGCGCGGACCACCCAGUGAUUUCUACUGCUCUUGGCCCAGAGCCAGUUCCUGGAAGGUCCUGGUUGACAGUGAGCCCUGAAUAUGAAUGACAAUCAGUUGCUUCAGGGCAACUUCCUCUGUCCUAUGCUCAAAUAAAUGAAUCCCUGGAGUUUAACGUUUACUUCUGAGCCCCGCCCAGAAAGCUUGCUCUGUGCUUAUAGCUUCAAAAAAGUCUGCGAACGAGAUGAACUGGUUUGAAUACAGACAAGCCUGUUAUUGGAAGUUUUGAGUUGGAUUUUUCUUUCCCCUCUGACAUCUGUAAGGAUGAACGACGAUGAGAACCACCACUUACUGUGUUAGGGGAUUAUGACGUGCAGCAGCCAUGGCCUGGAAAGCACUCCAUACCCUGAGACUUCCUUUCCUCGCACUUCUCUCCUAUUAAUAUCUAAAAUAAUCCCUCACGUUAGCACAUAAUGAAAGCAGUCUCUCACCCGGCUAUUGCAUCUUCAGGUGAGUUAGACAGGACAAAGCGUAGUCCCCCCUUUACACUUCAGGCAAAAACUUAAGAAACGUUACUAGCCCAACACAAAAUGACUGACCAAGCACCUGUCUUCCCCUCCUCCCAUCCAGGUCUCCUGACUAAUCCCUUGAUCUUUCCAUACCUGGCCCUGACCUCUAGCAGGACCUAAUUCCAUUCUAACUGUUGAGAGUACACUAUGAGCUACUGAUUCAUAAAAACUCCAAAAAUUGGUUCUUCUGAGGAUGGAUUUUAGUGGGAUUCUUUUGAACAGGAAUUAAGGAAAUAAUGUAAAAACACAUGUUAUUGGAUUUAUUAAGCACCUUCCUUGUGCUUAAUAAGUGUUUGAAUUCAGACAUUUCAGGGGUAAGACUACUUAACCUCUGUGUUCCCUUCAACUGUCUAAUGUACACAUACAAAAAUAUGAACAUGGCUGGGCGCGGUGGCUUACACCUGUAAUUCCAGCACUUGGGGACGCCGAGGCGGGCAAAUCACCUGAGGUCAGGAGCUCGAGCCAACCUGCCCAACAUGGCAAAACCCCGUCUCUACUAAAAAUACAAAAAAUUGGCGCCGGGCGUGGUGGCGAGCCCCUAUAAUCCCAGGUAUUCCGGAAGCCGAGGCAGGAGAAUUGCUUGAACCCGGGAGGCAAAGGUUUUAGUGAGCCGAGAUUGCGCCACUGCACUCCAGCCUGUGGGACAGAGCAAGACUGUUGUCAAAAAAAAAUAUAUAUAUAUACACACAUAUAUAUACACACACAUACAUACAUACAUAUGUAUGUAUGUGUGUGUAUAUAUGUGUGUAUAUAUAUAUGUGUGUAUAUAUGUGUAUAUAUAUAUGUGUAUAUAUAUGUGUGUGUAUAUAUAUAUAUGAAGGCAGUAACAGAAAGGUAAGGUCGAGAAUAACCACCCAUUCCACAGAAUAAUAAAGAAUUUAUCUCUUUGCAACUAACAUAGUUUGAAAUGGGAGAUACGGGCUCUUGGAGAGAUUUUUUUCUGGGGUUUUGAAAAGGUCAGAUCCUAUCAAAACACAAUCCACUCACUCAAACAUUUCAGCAUACUCACAUUCUGAGUACUACUGUUUAGUAUGAAAAGAAUUCCAGUGUUACAUGAAGUAAAAAUGGAUUAUCUCAGUCUUCAUGGAAUAUAACGGGACUUGACCAGCAUUUCCUUUUUUUUUUUCCUUCAGUAACCCACUUAUAAAGAAUAAUAGGGUCCUAAUGAGGAUUAAGAUUUAAUAAGGUGUAAUUAGAGUUGUUCAUUUCUUCCAUCAUAUACAUUAUAAGAGUACUGUGCUGGAUCCAGAAAUGCUACUAAUUAUGUUGAAACUGUUGUAUGGGUGUGUUGGGGAAGAUCACUAUGAUUCUCCUCUUGAAAUUUUUAUGAAUUGCUCACGGUGAGCAUGGUGUUAGCAUGAACAUCAUAUAAAGUUAACUACAAAAGA
rnacentral:antisense_RNA from 1 species